ACAGCCCAUGGAAGAUGGUUCUGAAGGCAGCCGCCCAAAGGAGAUGAGACCACAAGAGCUGGUAAGACUUUCAACCAGAACCCAGCCUCGAUCCCUCCAUGGAAGAUGAGCUAGGUCACCACUGACCUGGCAUGAAUAGGAGCCAGUCAGCAAGAGGGGCACCUGGAAGAGUGCUGGAGAAGGAAAAUGGUUACGUCUAAAGGUGAGAGAGAGCAUGACAUGGAAGACGAGGCAGGUAGGAGCAGAAGGAUGAGACCGAGCCAAGGACGGUGCGAGAACCCGGAUGCUGGGCUGGGUUUUCCAGCCUCUCUCCAAGAGAGAGUGUUUCUCAAAGUGGAGCCUAGCUCUUUCCCAUCACGUUUGGCACCCUGAAUGAUCUGCUGAAACAGAAAUCCAUUUCUUUUUUAUUAUUGGAGAAUUCAUUUGUAAUCAUCAGUUUGGUUUAAAGAACACAGCAUGGAAGACAGAAUUUACAUCGACAUCACAAGGCUGCUGACUUGAGGAUGCUUGGAAUGAAGAACAGCUGAAGUGUUCCGUAUAACAGACUCACGGGAAGAUCUGCCCUAGACACUUCCUGCUGUGUACCCUGACCCACCCUACUCCCAAGAAAGACAAGCCGCCACAAAGUACCAGGUUACAGUCGUCACAUCUCCAGCGUAGUCCAGCACUGCGCCACAAACCUACACCUGACUCUCCAUUGCAGACAUCCAAGUGCCUAUAUGCUCUCUUAACUAAACAAAACAAGCACAUAGGCUGUAGAGUAAAAGAUGAAACUAAUGGGCUGAAGAGAUGGCUCAGUGGUUAAGAGCACUGGCUACUCUUCCAGAGGACCAAGGUUCAAUUCUCAGCACCCAAAUGACAGUUCACAAUUGUCUGUAACUCCUGUUCUAGAGGACCUGACACCCUCACACAGACAUACAUGCAGGCAAAAUACCACUGCUCAUGAAAUAAAAAUAAAUUAAAAAAAAUUUUUUACUUAAAAAAA
rnacentral:lncRNA from 1 species